rnacentral:rRNA from 1 species
GCGCACCAGGCGAGAAUUUUUGACAAUGGGGAAACCCUGAUCGAGCGACGCCGCGUGGAGGAUGAAGGUCUUCGGAUUGUAAACUCCUGUCAUUGGGGAACAAGGUGCAUACGUUAACUGCGUGUGUAUUGAUAGUACCCGAAGAGGAAGGGACGGCUAACUCUGUGCCAGCAGCCGCGGUAAUACAGAGGUCCCAAGCGUUGUUCGGAUUCAUCGGGCGUAAAGGGUGCGUAGGCGGCGCGGUAAGUCGGGUGUGAAAUCUCGGAGCUUAACUCCGAAACUGCAUUCGAUACUGCCGUGCUUGAGGACUGGAGAGGAGACUGGAAUUUACGGUGUAGCGGUGAAAUGCGUAGAUAUCGUAAGGAAGACCAGUGGCGAAGGCGGGUCUCUGGACAGUUCCUGACGCUGAGGCACGAAGGCCAGGGGAGCAAACGGGAUUAGAUACCCCUGUAGU